rnacentral:rRNA from 1 species
GAUGAACGCUGGCGGCGUGCCUAAUACAUGCAAGUCGAGCGAACGGACGAGAAGCUUGCUUCUCUGAUGUUAGCGGCGGACGGGUGAGUAACACGUGGAUAACCUACCUAUAAGACUGGGAUAACUUCGGGAAACCGGAGCUAAUACCGGAUAAUAUUUUGAACCGCAUGGUUCAAAAGUGAAAGACGGUCUUGCUGUCACUUAUAGAUGGAUCCGCGCUGCAUUAGCUAGUUGGUAAGGUAACGGCUUACCAAGGCAACGAUGCAUAGCCGACCUGAGAGGGUGAUCGGCCACACUGGAACUGAGACGCGGUCCAGACUCCUACGGGAGGCAGUAGUAGGGAAUCUUCCGCAAUGGGCGAAAGCCUGACGGAGCAACGCCGCGUGAGUGAUGAAGGUCUUCGGAUCGUAAAACUCUGUUAUUAGGGAAGAACAUAUGUGUAAGUAACUGUGCACAUCUUGACGGUACCUAAUCAGAAAGCCACGGCUAACUACGUG